rnacentral:rRNA from 1 species
CGCGUAGGUGGUUAGGUAAGCGAGAUGUGAAAGCCCCGGGCUUAACCUGGGAACGGCAUUUCGAACUGUCUGACUAGAGUACGGUAGAGGGUAGUGGAAUUUCCUGUGUAGCGGUGAAAUGCGUAGAUAUAGGAAGGAACACCAGUGGCGAAGGCGGCUACCUGGACCAAUACUGACACUGAGGUGCGAAAGCGUGGGGAGCAAACA